UCAAAGUGCUCUGUCAUACCCUUUUCUGUCUCAGUAUCUCCCUGUACAGAGGAAAUGAAACUAUAAGCUCUUUCUCAAGAAAUUACUUGAAACAAGGAGCCUACCCUUUAAGUUGUCGGGGUCUGAAGUCACCUGCAUUCCAGAUGUCUGGAGAAUGUGACUUUUCUGAUUUAUCAUGGGAGCUGGUGUUCUGGUGAAAGGUCUUAUCCAAGAGGAGCAACCAAAUGGUAAGCUAUGGAUUUUUGUUCUUUCUCACUCUAAAAUGUGAAAC
rnacentral:lncRNA from 1 species